UUAGCAAAUAAUUAGUCUUUUUGUGGCCGUCUGGCCGAGUCUUCUCAAUCGGGACUUCCCCUGCAAACUCCACAUAACAUAGAAAUCAAGAUUUUCAUUUAUGCUUCGCUGGCAAUUUUGCGAUCGAGUAUUGCACUGUUUAUGUUUUCGUUUGGUCUGGUUAGAAAAUCGUUCACACAACAUAGUUUGGACGUUAAAUUGUCACCGUUAGUUGGUACACUUGCUUUCAUACAAACAAAUUCAGGUAAUGCUAACAGCGGGCAAUUCUGCCAAGAACAGUUUACAUCGUGAAAUGAGAGCAAACUCAAGAAAAGCAUAGAAGUUGAAGAGAUGGUUUUUUAUGCAUAGCAACAAGAAAUCGAACAUGUGUUAGUUAUUUCUCAAACAAUAGUUAACUAUAGUAGUAUAAUACCCAAUGAUAUUUAUGUACCACUAUUCAUAGGCGUUCAGUUAGGGGUUCUGAGGGUGCCUUGUCACCCCAAUUUUCAAAACAAGAGUGAUAUAAUGUGUUUUGUCACCCCAGUUUUACAGGUCACUACAGCUUUUAACCUGUUGUUAAGUGUCUAUAGAUACAAUCAGGCCCAAACCCUACUCUAUUCAUACUAUUCAAUGAAGUUUAUUUAUGUGUUAAGCUGUGAUUGUAAAUACAUUUUAAUCACGUCAUCCCAGAUUUUGUUAAAAUGUGAAUCACGAUGCCAAUCCUAAAU